AGUGCAACUGCUGGAUCAUAUGGUAAGAAUAUGUUUAGUUUUGCAAAAAACUGCAAACUGUCUUCCAAAAUGGCUGUUCCAUUUUGCAUUCUUACCAGCAGC
rnacentral:pre_miRNA from 1 species